rnacentral:tRNA from 1 species
GCUCCCAUAGGCUAAUUGAAAGACCGCCUCGCUACGAACGAGACAGUGUGGGUUUGAGCCCCGCCGGGAGUACCA